ACAGUGCAAUGAGUUACUUUCUUCGAAGUACGAAGUGACUCAUGUCUCUUUAUUACAUCAAUAGGUCCACGAUCUAACCUCAUAUGCCAAAGUGAGGAGAUUCAAUACUGCUAAUUAUACUAGUAGCUAUUGUAUGCACAUUUAUUUCUAACAAUAGACUUUUACUAUGUCUUCAUAGGUAGCCUCCCUUUCAGCAGUUAGAGCCCAUCUUCCUGGCAAUCCCAAUCACUUGGCCAUUGUAGAGGUCCUGAAAGAUACAGAAGUUAGGAAAAAAAGCCAAUAAGAAGUGUAGUUCCUUGAUGAUAUGAGAUACAAAUAGAAGAUUGUACUUAAAAUCAGGUAUGUAAAGCACAUUACUUAUAUCCUGAUCCUCAAGUACGGUAGAAUUUCCUUUAUGAGACACUAGGAUAUGGUUCCUGUGGGUAAGUGAAUUUUGCUUCUUUGUUAUUCAAGAAUCUGCUAAUAGAUAUUUAAUAUCUGUAGAUUUAUUGUCAUAUAUGAUGUGAUGCACCUGUCUCUAUUAUCCAAUUAUGGUUAACAUACUCAGAUAGUUAAUAUAUCAUAAUACAUGCAGAUGUAGUCUUGCUAGAGGUUCCAUUCUCAACUCCUUUGUUGAGGGGAUGUGCAAUCUGUUGGUAUUUCUCCCGAGUGAAGAAGAGUACAAGUAUAUUGCCUGGUGCUGGCUAAGGUUGAGUGAAAUCUGAGUAACCUCCUUAGUCUGUGACGGUUGAGACAUACCAACCUUACCUCUGGCUUGUUGAUUAACACCAUGCUGCUGACAACAACCUAUUACAUUGCAACCUUAUGUUGUGGGAUAAGCUCCACCAUCAACAUGACUAGCAUAGAUACUAGGACUUGCACCUUUUCUUUUGGACUUGAAAUCUGAUGGAUACCCAAUCAACUAGUAGCAGUCCUCCUUUUUAUGCACCUUGAAGUGACUAUGCUGACAUUGAAUUUGGCCUUUUCUUUUGCAUGUAGUUGCCUGCUGAUUUCCUGGGUUAUCGACACAUUGUUGCUAUAGAGUAUUGUGCUGUCUAGUGCCUCAGUGACUUAUACUGCAUGAAUGAAAUUGGCUAGACUCCUUUGACUUUUCUGAUUAAAAAGCAUUGAAUAUGCUUUGUUGAUUAUGGGAAUAUGAGUCAUCAUCAUGAUCUAACUUUUAGGUUGUUAGUAUGACUCAUUUAAACCCAUAAAAAACAAUAAAAGUUUGUGAUAUUCAAACUGGUGAGUAUAUUUCUUAGACUCUGGGCAGGGAUAACAGGACAUGGCAUAAGCGCAUCAAAUUCAUCCCACAGAUCUUUUAGCUUAGUGAAGUAAUAAGUCAUACUCAUAGUACCUUGUUUGAGGGUGUGCAUUUCUAUGUGAAGGUAGAAUACUCUAGAUCUAUUGACCUUAUCGAAUAUUUCUAUCAAGUCUUCCCACACCUUGUGUGCAUCAAAAUGCAUACAACACACAACUCCGAAGACCAGGUCUAAUAGAGUUCAUAAUCCAUGAAAAUACCACUACAUUGACCUUCCGCUAGAGAUCAUGAAGAGCAGCUUCAAACCUAGAAUUAGGAAAGUGACCAUCAAUAAAAUGUAACUUUCUUUUUCCUAGUAGACCAACUACAUAGAACGACUGCACAAGGUAUUUUUUAUCUGAUCCAUUUAAUUGGAGAGAAGUUAGAGGGCUACCUGAAGUAUCAGUUGAUUGAAGGUACAACAGGUGGUGUGACCAAUGACAAGAAAAUUUGUAGUGCCAGCAGUGAAGGCACUCUUUCCAGUAGCUUGAAAUGUUGCCGGAAAAGCUGUACGAGUAUGUUGAGUUUCUGAUUUUGAAGAAUCAUCUUCUAUUGACAUUGCAACAACAGAGUAGCAGCAAUUUUGUCUCUCAAAUUCACUCAAAUCUCAAACCCUAGCUUUGAUUUGGAGCACUUUUAGACACGUAUAUACCAUGAGAGUGAAGUGUAGCGACUAAUCAAAAACUAGAGAGCUGAAGAGUGAUCUUGAUCGAAAGCAUUGGUUCUGAUACCAUGUCAACAGCCAUGGCAAUGGCAGUUAUAGCUCAGUUACAGUCGAGCAGCUAUAAGCAUUAAGGAGAAAGAGAAUAAGUGAUUGAAGAAUGAAGCCACA
rnacentral:lncRNA from 1 species